ensembl:lncRNA
AUUAGCUCCGCUGUCUUCAUUCCAGUAGUCGAGAGAAAUGGAGAGUCAGAAAAAGAGGAAAGGUGGAGCAGAGAGAGAAAGGGACAGAAAACGUAAAGCCCUCACCACAGACGGAGCAAAAUGUUGCAAAAUAAGUGACAUGUUCACCAGAAGGGAAGUGCAUCAACGACAGCUGGCCAGCGCGAUAAACACACAGACCGGAACCGGCCGAGCUGUAUUAUUUGAAACAGGAAUGUGCUGGUGGAUGUUUCUGUGCGUGGAUGUCUGCAGCGGAAGUGCGUGUGGGUGGAUGUCUGGAGCGUGUGGGUGGAUGUCUGCAUUCAGACCUGUCCAUGAUUCAGACUCUCUUGAAUUUUCCGCCUUGCUGAUCCACGCGCAAUUUUCAGAUUUCCGUACUUGUAGAAUUGUUAUUUGUUCUUGAAGGAUUUUUUUUUGUAC